rnacentral:rRNA from 1 species
GACAGAGGGUGCAAACGUUGUUCGGAAUUACUGGGCGUAAAGCGAGUGUAGGCGGUUCGGUAAGUCGGAUGUGAAAGCCCCGGGCUCAACCCGGGAAGUGCACUCGAUACUGUCGAGCUAGAGUAUCGGAGAGGUUGGUGGAAUUCUCGGUGUAGAGGUGAAAUUCGUAGAUAUCGAGAGGAACACCGGUGGCGAAGGCGGCCAACUGGACGAAUACUGACGCUGAGACUCGAAAGCGUGGGGAGCAAACAGG